UAGGGCUGUACUGAAACCCAGGGAACCCCCUUCCUCCUCCCUGUCUGGUCUAGAAAUGCAGGGCGAAAUCACAGGUCAGUGCAGUGGCUUCCGUCAGCCAUUGCAACAAGGACAUGAAUUGCGGAAGAGCAUCUCUCUCUCCGCAGCCUCUUCCUCUGUUCUGUUUCCUCCGUGCAUCUGCUUCAGCCUGCUACUCAGACCUGCUGUCCAGCACUGGGUCUCUCCGGACUCCAGAACUGAGUUUAAGAGACAGAACUGAUGGUCCAGCUGCCUGUGGGGGUGGGCUGUGUCACGCUGUGCUGCCUGUGUAGUUUCUAUGGAUCCCUGCCAUCCCUACAUGCAUAAGGAAGAAAGGAUGGGUAGAGGUCUGAGGAGGACAGUGACAUGCCAAGGGGGCAUUUCCAGCUGGAUGGAUCAGGACAGCUCUGGCCAGGCCGUUGACCUACACGAUCAUGACACCUCACACGCAACCCUCUCAGCAAGGUGAGGACAUGGCAUGCCUCCUUCUCUUCUGUUUCCUGCUGGAUCAUGAGCACAAGAGUGACGGAGUGAAGACUCAACUUUGUAGUCUGGACUCCUUCCCAUCCCCGCCUCCACACCAGCCUCAGGUGAAUCAGGUCUUACGGUAUCCUCACAUUACAUAAGGUGA